AAGACUACCAUAGCCUUUGCUCUAAAGAAGAAAUCAUCUCUCUUAAUUACACCGCAUAUAUCAUCUCCCUCUCACCUCACCUCUGCUCCCGGUAUCCAUCUCUCACCUAAAGAACCAGCACCAUGGAAAUCCCAUUCUCUUGAUUCUUCUUCUGAUCAAUAACCUCAGAUGCCGCUAAUUAGAUCUCAAACCUGCUGGAAUAGAUUUACAUCCUGACUUGGUGGCUCUGAAAUCCGAAGAAAAGGCUCCUUUGGUGGUAUUAGCUCAAACCCCAUGGUCAACUUCUCUGGUGUUGUAGGAACCCCCUUCUUGCUCUUGGUACUGAUUGCUACAGUCGCUUUGAACGACAAGGGUCAGAACCUCAAUGCUUCUUACUACCACAUUGACAGUCCCUUAACCAAUACAACUGUUGGCGCCGAGCUUUCCAUAGUUUCAGUACAAAUGAGAACAUGCACCUUGACCAUCGAUACCCAGAAAGCUCCGGACCCAUUGACUUAGAGAAGCUCAGAGACGGCUUAGUCUGCACUUAAAAUUACUGGACCGCCCGAGUAAGAAUCAACAGAGCUGUCUGGGGACCCUUGAACAGGACGAUAAUAAGCGCUGGAGAAGAUGCGACAAUUCACAUCUGGGAUUCUGAGCACUUGGAAACUGUAAUCAAGUCUCGCAUCCCAGGCCUCCAGUCGCUAAUUUAUAAAAGUAUUGCUGAACUAGAGGCGGAAAUAAGUCGUUGCUGCAAGACUGUUGUUACGGAUGCUGGAGUAACACAACACCAAAAAUGGACUUUAGCAACUUGCUUCCGCUGUCGCAAAUCGGGGUCGCAACUGCACAAGCUGUGUGACAGGGGUGACUCGAAUUUUCGCAAUGGAAAUAUAGCUGUUGCGAAUUUCGAGUCGCAACUUUUCUCACCUGUUGCGACGCAAAAAUUUAGCAACAUCCGAUCAGCAGUUGCGAUUUUUUUACUAUUCGUUAUGAAUUCUUGACUAAGUCAACGAAGACUGACCUCAAAAAGUCGGGGUAGAAAAUUAGCAACAACUGAAAAGCUGUUAGUAAUUUUUUGCAACAGAAAAAAAGAGAGCCAGUCUUCGUUGACUUAGUCAAAAUCAAUCUCGCCAUUUUUCCCGCAUACAGCUAGUUCAUACCCGCAACUACCCAGAUUGAACAAUUCUUGUGAUUCAAUCCAAUAAAUCAUAUUCAACACACAAUCAGGAUAAAAUUUAACUACAAUAUCUCAUUAUUGACAAAGAUAACAAAAAAAAAAAAAAAUCUAGAGUAGCCUUGCUUUGCAAUCUAUCAAGGCAUCUGACAACAUAAACAUUUCGAUUAAACACAAAUACAAACAAGUGUUAUGCCACUUCUAAAUUUCUGUGUUAUGAAAUGAUAACAUGAUAGUGGAGUUCAAUUGCGAUUUCUAUGUUAUAAAAUAUGUACAUAUUG